AGAAAAUUGUGAGUUGUGAGAGAUUCAUAAACAAUGUGUACAAUGAUAAAGGGAAAAGGGAACUUGUUUAACAGAAAGAUUUGUAAUAGCUUGCAUGAAACAACCUGUUUACCAGACAAGAAGAAAGCUGAGCGCUUAAAAUAUAGGAAAGAGGAAGUUGAGUAACGGGCUUUAAAACAAUGAAUGAGGUUUUACUGUAAGAUAAUGUUUUGCUUUAUAUUAUAUGUUUAUAAGAACUAAAAUGCAGAAGCUGUUAUCGGUAAAUGACUACAAAAACAAGCCAGGGAAUUUCUAGAGUUACAUUCACCCCAUAUGAGAUAUGCUAAUGCCUUAUAGUUAGAUUGUACGACUGGGGGUCAGUCUGGAGGACCAUGUGGAACUUCCUGAUUGGCUGCCAGGGCUAGCUAGGAGAUGUAUAAAAAUGAGCCGAGUUGCACCUCAGACUUCAGAUUGACUACUACCAAGGGUCAAUCUCCACCUCUAUAUAGACGUGUUCCUGAAUAAACUGUUUCACUGCUACUGUCGGAUUUGUGAGUAUUAAUUGGGAAUAUUUAGAAUCAUUUCCAUAACAAUUUGGUGGCCCGUACGGGGAGCCGUUUAAACAAGAGGGCUCUUUGAGUGCCCAUUUGGCAUUUUGCCUGUUUGACCGAAGAGAAAAAGGAGUGAACUGAGUGGAAAUAGGGAGGCGCCCCUGGCCUUUCUUUGGCUUGGCCCGCUUUCCACACGGCUCUCCGUUUCUCCACGUCAAAGAACCCCAAAACAGUGGCAGUGAAACAGCCGCCGGCUGCUAACAUUGACAGACGUCUACUGAUUGGGAAAUAAGUGCUGCGGCAGACUCCGCCCCUAGAAGAACACAGUCUGUUUUUCCAGCCUGCUUGGUGACUAAGUUUUUGUCGGUGGAGACUGAACCAUUGAGACUAUGGGUGGCAUUGAGACCACUUCUAGCAACUUAAGUUAAACAGAGGACGCCAGCUCCACCAGUCCUGUUUUUCUUUGGAACUAUUUUUGGAACUAUUUUUCGGAUCUAUACCUGAACUGUUUUCUGGAACUAUACCUGAACUAUUUAUGAUUUUUGCUGUUCCGUACAAACAUUAUCUUCGCUAUUUAGACUAAGAAAACCCCUGGACGCCUGAGCGUCGGUUUGAACAUUUUAUAUAUGUAUUUUAAUAAUUGCUGUUGUUAGGGUUUGCUUUUAUAGUAAUUAAUUGUAAUUGUAUGUAAUUGAAUGUAAUUGAAUGUAGAAAAAUUAAGUAUCAUAUAAGAAUAGUUAUAGAAGAGAGGAAUGUGUUUUAACAAUUGGCCAGCAGAUUAUUUAAAUAGGUUUUGUUAGGUACAAUUAAAAGUAAUUACACACAGUCGCACACAGAAAAAGAGGAAAAGCAGCCAUUUGUCCCCAUGCUUUGUCCCCUAGUUAAUAAGUUUAGGGAUAAAUAUUAAGUCCAGUAAACAUUAAGUAGUUUAACGCCCGACAACAACGAAAGAGCAAAAGAAGGAGACAUGAAACUCCUCUUACCGUUAUUUGUGCUUCCCCUAGUCCAAAUGGAUUGGCGCCAAAACCAGUUCCACCAAAUGGCCCAACGUAUGAGCAGAGCCCUAAAUGUGUCUGAAUGCUGGUUAUGUAGCCAAAGACCUGCUGAGGGAAGAGGGGGUUGGCCCAUAGUAUCAUCGUCUGUCCUCACAUUAGAGGCUUGGAACGACACUUUUUGUGCUGGGGCCACGAACCCUACAGAAAUUCCGAACAACGGAGAUAAGGGGUUUGUUGAUACCAAUCGCACCAGUUUGGCACACCCCUGGGAUUGGCCUAUGACUCCACUUUGCCUCCAGUGGCAAACAUUUGAAAAAACUGGAAAGCAAGCCUUGAAGUGGAUGGUAAUAGAUGAAGAGGGGGCUGAAGAGCGAGCGUUAGAGGGAGAGUUGCUCGACAAGAUGAUAACCCCUCAAGGUCGUGCAUUAUGGAUAGGGAUGACAGGUCCCCCAGAGCCACUGAGACCUUUUCCGUCCCCUGCUUCUAACCCCAAAAUAGCAGAAAAAUUAGGUAAUUAUCCCACCUGUUUCAGGACCAUAAUAUUCUCUCAGGCAGGAAUGGUGUGCAAAGAUAACCCCUGGUUUGAAAAGGACCCUGCUUUUAAUUGCUUAAAGCAGUAUGACAAAUAUCCAGGUGCAUUGUCAUUGUUUAAUAAUGUGGUAACCCCUUUUAAUAUGGUUCAUUUACAAAUUAGAUAUGAUGUAAACUUAUACAUAUAUGCACUCCUGCCAGGGAUUUAUUGAAUUUGUGGUAGUUUUGCGCUUAAGAUACUUCCACCCCGAUGGAAAGGCACUUGCACCUUAGGAACUUUAAAACCUGGAAACAUAGCAUACUACCAGAAAAAGCAACCCAGGAAAGCCUGGCAACAAAACUUUCUGACAUUAGAAGAGAAUAGUAUAGCUAUAGCAGGGCCACUUAUGAAAGAUGUGUGGAGUGUUGAACAGUUACACAGAAUGUCCAUUGAAUUAGAAGCUCUAGCUAACAACACUGCAAAUAGUAGCAAGAAUAUGAGAGUCAAAGUUGAUUUUAAAAGGACGUUUCAACAUGAAAUUGCUUUGGGCUUCAUGCUGAACUCCAGGAGAGGCUUUUGUUUCUGGCUUGCUACCACCUGUUGCCAUUAUAUCAAUGAGUUAAGACAAAUUGAAACUAAUAUGUAUAAGUUGUAUAAUGUUACGAAUUUUCAAAAGAUACUGAAUGGCGGGACUGGUUUCCUGACCUCGGGUGGCUAAAAGACCUAAUAAUGGGAUUGGGAUUGAUUGGCUUGGUAGGAGUGGUGAUAUUGGUCUAUUAUUGUGUUCCUGCCCACACCCAAGUCUCCCUUGCCUUAGCCAUAGCCGAGAGAGUAUACAUGCCGCCUGGAGACAUGCCUGUUAAUGAAUCUUACACUUCCCUUCCUAUAGAAGAAAUAGCUAUGUAUGAAGUGUUAACAAGAUGAGAAGUUGACCAAGGGAAUGAGAUGAAGUAUGUAGGGUGAACUCUCACAAGUUUAUUAUGAAAAGAAAAGCUGGGAAUUGAUAUGAGAAAAUUGUGAGUUGUGAGAGAUUCAUAAACAAUGUGUACAAUGAUAAAGGGAAAAGGGAACUUGUUUAACAGAAAGAUUUGUAAUAGCUUGCAUGAAACAACCUGUUUACCAGACAAGAAGAAAGCUGAGCGCUUAAAAAUAUAGGAAAGAGGAAGUUGAGUAACGGGCUUUAAAACAAUGAAUGAGGUUUUACUGUAAGAUAAUGUUUUGCUUUAUAUUAUAUGUUUAUAAGAACUAAAAUGCAGAAGCUGUUAUCGGUAAAUGACUACAAAAACAAGCCAGGGAAUUUCUAGAGUUACAUUCACCCCAUAUGAGAUAUGCUAAUGCCUUAUAGUUAGAUUGUACGACUGGGGGUCAGUCUGGAGGACCAUGUGGAACUUCCUGAUUGGCUGCCAGGGCUAGCUAGGAGAUGUAUAAAAAUGAGCCGAGUUGCACCUCAGACUUCAGAUUGACUACUACCAAGGGUCAAUCUCCACCUCUAUAUAGACGUGUUCCUGAAUAAACUGUUUCACUGCUA